rnacentral:rRNA from 1 species
GAUGAACGCUGACAGAAUGCUUAACACAUGCAAGUCGAUGGGGAAGUGGUGCUUGCACCAUGGUAACCAUGGCGGACGGGUGAGUAACGCGUAAGGAACUUGCCUGCGGGACUGGGAUAACAGCAGGAAACUGCUGAUAAUACCGGAUAAGGUCAUUAAGCUGCAUAGCUUAGCGAUGAAAGGAGACGCCUGCGGAGAGCCUUGCGUCCUAUUAGCUAGUUGGAGGGGUAACGGCCCACCAAGGCGAAGAUAGGUAGCCGGCCUGAGAGGGUGGACGGCCACAAGGGGACUGAGAUACGGCACUUACUCCUACGGGAGGCAGCAGUGGGGAAUAUUGGACAAUGGGGGCAACCCUGAUCCAGCAAUUCUGUGUGCACGAAGACGGUUUUCGGAUUGUAAAGUGCUUUCAGCAGGGAAGAAGGAAGUGACGGUACCUGCAGAAGAAGCGACGGCUAAAUACGUG